rnacentral:rRNA from 1 species
AGUGAACGCUGGCGGCGUGCCUAACACAUGCAAGUCGAACGAGAACGGGUUAUAGUUUACUAUAACUGUCAGCUAAGUGGCGCACGGGUGAGUAAUAUAUAGUUAAUCUGCCCCAAAGAAGAGAAUAAUUGUUGGAAACGACUUGUAAUGCUCUAUAUGCCUUUAUGACAUAAGUCAGCAAGGGAAAUAUUUAUAGCUUUGGGAUGAGACUGUACGGUAUCAGAUAGUUGGUGAGGUAAUGGCUCACCAAGUCAAUGACGCCUAACUGGUUUGAGAGGAUGAUCAGUCACACUGGAACUGAGACACGGUCCAG